rnacentral:rRNA from 1 species
AGACAGAGGUGGCAAGCGUUGUUCGGAAUUACUGGGCGUAAAGGGCGCGCAGGCGGUUCGCCAAGUCCCGUGUGAAAUCCCCCGGCUCAACUGGGGAACUGCGCGGGAAACUAGUGGACUUGAGUUCGGGAGAGGAAAGCGGAAUUCCGGGUGUAGCGGUGAAAUGCGCAGAUAUCCGGAGGAACACCAGUGGCGAAGGCGGCUUUCUGGACCGACACUGACGCUGAGGCGCGAAAGCUAGGGGAGCGAACGGGAUUAGAAACCCCGGUAGUCC